rnacentral:tRNA from 1 species
AUUUAUAUAGUUUAAAUAAAACAUUAUAUUUUCAUUAUAAAAUUAGACUCUUAUCUUAUAAAUA